UCUUCCUUCUUCUCUCACGAGCGGGGCGAAACGGCGGCGAUGGCGACGGCGACGGCUUCAACUUCUCCGGUCGAAAACAAACUCAAACGCGAUUGAACCCUCUCUCUUCUCGUUUCAUCCGCUUCAUACUCUUUUAUCUCGCUGAUUGCUGAUUCAAUUGAAUUGCGUUCCAAUUUUGACACAAGCGUCUUCUCACGAAAUCAGACGUGAAGAAAGAACCGAUGUAGACAGAGUUCAAAGCUUUUUCUUUUUGAUCGAAACGCUCCAACAGCCAUUCAAAGAUGCCGGUGCCGAGAAGUUAAGGUAAGCAUACGCGUUAAUCUCUUGCUUCCUCCAAUCGAUUCGUACUUCUUCUUCUUUUAGAAUUCUGAAUGACUUGUUACUGUUAUUGUUUCGGUUGUGUUGAAUUGGUGAGGAUGAGGGCGAAGAUGCGAUGAAGAUUGAAGUGUUGAUGAUGAAGAUGAUGAUGAUUGAAGAAAGGAUGAGGAUGUUGCUUUUGUUGCAGGUUUAUUGAAGAUGGUGAUUCAGCAUUACGAGAGGUGUUGCAAAGAUGAUGAUGUGUAUCGAGAUGAAGAAGAUGGAGGAGCUGUGAAGAAUGGUGGAGAGUGAGUGAUGAAUGAAGAAUGGCUCAGAGAUCAAAAAAUGGUGGAGGAGCUUGAAUGAAGGUGGAGAGAAGAAUAUAUAGGUCGAGUUCUGAGAUUCAGUUGCAAUUGAAGGGGUGCUUCUGGUUUGAUAGGUUUGACGGGUAAUGGGAUAAAUGGAACGCACUCGGCCGGAAGACUGGGACAGGCUGCUGAGUAACGGCUAUCGUACUUUGCAUCAGUCCUACAGCUUGAGUUGUAAUUGGGGUUUGACCUGCUGUGGACCAGAUACCCUCUUGAGAAGAUUGGGAGAUUGGAACAGGCAGCACUGUAAUAUUGCCGUUAUACUUGGCGGUUGUCCCAGCAGAAGCAAAAGGAUGAAGACGGUUAUCACUAUCAGCACCUGGUCGGAAAACUGGGCGUAAUAACCAACUGGAUCCAACUGUGGGUGGACAAUAAAGCUUGGAAGCCAAGAAAUAUCACGUGCUUGAAGCUAAGAAUUGUCAAACAGAGUGGUUCAGUAUUAUAUUUACUUUGUAAUGGAGGAAUUUGAAUGUAAUGAAAUUGUAAUGGUGUAAUUGGAUUUAGAUCUUGCAAUGGAAUUGUAUUUUUGAUGAA